UACGUAGGGGUCGAGCGUUGUCCGGAGUUACUGGGCGUAAAGCGCGCGCAGGUGGCUCAUUACGCCCGGCGUGAAAGCCCCCGGCCUAACCGGGGAAGGUCCGUCGGGUACGGGUGAGCUUGAGGGUAUCAGGGGCUGGUGGAAUUCCCGGUGUAGUGGUGGAAAUGCGUAGAGAUCGGGAAGGAACACCCGUGGCGAAGGCGGCCGAGCUGGGAUACACCUGACACUGAGGCGCGAAGGCGUGGGGAG
rnacentral:rRNA from 1 species